CAAAUUGAACAACUUUGCUAAACCAAAUACACCAAUCUCCACUUCUCCAGUAAACUGAUAACCCCCUUUCACUUCUCCUCGCACCCGCCAUUAAGGACUCUGGAAAAUUAGCUAGGAGCUGUAUUCAGUGAUGGCCAGUAUUCUGUUUUCAUCAACAUUUCACGGCUCAACUAUCCGAACCAACACAGAAGUUAAAAGGCGUGAUCAUAAUCUUGGCAGAGUUUGUUGUGUAAAGGCAAUGAGAGUAGAGAAGUCUUUGGAAGAACUUUAUCAGAUAAGGGUAGAAAGAAAAAUAUCUCCCAAGCGAUUAGAUGAGCUUGGUGUAUCAAGAUGGUCAGUAUGGAAGACUGGAAAAUGCAAAUUGCCCUGGGACUGGCAUGUGGAUCAGCUUGUCUAUAUCGAAGAGGGAGAGGUUAGAGUUGUUCCGGAAGGGAGCAAGCAAUAUAUGAGUUUUAAGGCUGGUGAUCUUGUGCGCUAUCCCAAGUGGUUCGAGGCUGACCUGUGGUUCAAUGACUUUUACCAGGAGCGUUAUAGCUUUCGAGCUUAUGGUGAUGACUAGAUGGAAUUAUGCUGUACAGAGUACAAUGGAAGGCUUUGUAGCUGUAACUGACUCAAGCUCUCCAUGACAACUAAUUCCAAA